rnacentral:rRNA from 1 species
AGGACGAACGCUUGCGACGUGCCUAAGAAAUGCAAGUCGAACGGGGUAGCAAUACCUAGUGGCGAACGGUCGCGUAACACGUGGGCAACCUGCCCUGAAGCGGGGGACAACAACUCGAAAGAGUUGCUAAUACCGCAUGUGGAUCGCUCUGGCAUCAGAGAUUAUCCAAAGCCUUCGGGCACUUCAGGAUGGGCCCGCGGCCUAUCAGCUUGUUGGUGAGGUAACGGCCCACCAAGGCUUCGACGGGUAGCUGGUCUGAGAGGACGAUCAGCCGGAUUGGGACUGAGAUACGGCCCAGACUCCUACGGGGGGCAGCAAUUAGGAAUCUUGCACAAUGGGCGAAAGCCUGAUGCAGCGACGUCGCGUGAGGGAUGAAGUCUUUCGGGACGUAAACCUCUUUUAUCGGGGAAGAAACAAAAUGACGGUACCCGGUGAAUAAGCCCCGGCUAACUACGUGCCAGCAGCCGC